AUUGAACGCUGGCGGAAUGCUUUACACAUGCAAGUCGAACGGCAGCACGGGGGCAACCCUGGUGGCGAGUGGCGAACGGGUGAGUAAUACAUCGGAACGUGCCCAGUCGUGGGGGAUAACGUAGCGAAAGUUACGCUAAUACCGCAUACGAUCUACGGAUGUAAGCGGGGGACCGUAAGGCCUCGCGCGAUUGGAGCGGCCGAUGUCAGAUUAGGUAGUUGGUGAGGUAAAGGCUCACCAAGCCGACGAUCUGUAGCUGGUCUGAGAGGACGACCAGCCACACUGGGACUGAGACACGGCCCAGACUCCUACGGGAGGCAGCAGUGGGGAAUUUUGGACAAUGGGCGCAAGCCUGAUUCAGCCAUUCCGCGGGCAGGACGAAGGCCUUCGGGUUGUAAACUGCUUUUGUACGGAACGAAAAGGCUCUGGUUAAUACCUGGGGCUCAUGACGGUACCGUAAGAAUAAGCACCGGCUAACUACGUGCCAGCCGCCGCGGUAA
rnacentral:rRNA from 1 species